UUUCAAAAGGGUUUAUAUCGUUUUCUUCUUUUAAAAAAAAUAUAAUGAGAAAAACCCAAAUUUAACCUCCUGUUCGCCGUUCUUCUCUCCGUUGCCGUCGUUGCUUAUACUUCACGCCGUCGUUGCUAACUCAUUGUCGUCCAAUCACGACCCAUUGUUGUUUGAUUGAGAGCCACCCAAGUCAGAGCCUUCUCACAAUAUCAUCGUCGUCCUCACCAUCACUCCCACCCCGAGGCAAUCUUGCACCACCACUGUUCUCGCGCCGCUGUCGUCCUCACCACUUUGUUGCUCAUUGCUUUGCAAUUAGGUUAGAGCAGCUUAUGAGGCCAAUUUGAAGAGACUUGCGGUUGAUAGCAUCGAUCUCUAUUGCCAGCACUGGAUCGACACCAGGGUCCCAAUUGAAGUCACGGUUUGCUCAUUUUACCCUCUUUCCUUUUGAUCAAAUUUCAUGAUUUCCCUUUUUUGAUUCUUUUAAUCAUCAAGUUCUUAUAUGGGUUUUUGUCAAAUUUUUAACUAUAUAUAUAAAUGUAUAACUUGGUUGUGAUUUUGGUAUUUCCAUUGUUAUGUAGAGUGUAUAUAUAAUUAGAUUGACAAGGAUUGAAAAACUUGAAUUCCUCAUCCAUUUUGUACUUAAUUUGAAUUUCUAACCUUUAGGUACUACAUUUGUGUAAAUGUUGUAAUUUGGUACUCUCUCUCUCUAUAUAUAUAUACAUAAAUAUAUAAACAUGGUUUUCGUAUUUUGGAUACAUGUUGUAUUUUCCAUGAAUCAUUUGCUUAUAAACAUUCAAAAUAUAAGAAUUUCUCUUUCAUAUAAAGCAAUAUAUGGUAAAAAGCUACGGCCUAUAACUAUGAUAUAUUCCAAUUGCCAUCCUUUGGUGUAAAAAGCUUUUCAAGAAUAACCUACCACUCAAAUAAAACUGUGUUUCGAAAUUAUGUACUGAAACGAAACUAUAUGAGCCUGAUCUACUUUAUGCACUUGUCUUUACUGCUUGGUUGAAAUAUUUACACAGAAUGUUUGCAGAAUCUUUUGCUCAGUCUUAUUAUUUCAAUUACCAUAGUUUACUGCUUUGCCUUGCAAUUCAUUUGAUAUUUCCAGCCCUCCUAAUCUUCAAUCUCUAGCCUAUUUAUCUUAGUUCAACCAAAUGAGAUUAAUUUGAAGAAAAAAAUGAUCAAAGCUUUCAAAUUAAUAAUUAUCUUGUUGAGGUUUCCUUUCUCUUUCUCUUUCUAAUUUUUCUUCAUAUGGCCUACUCCAAUUUUAUUCCAAACUCAAGCUGAGCUCUACUUCUAAAAGAAUUAUAUCUAUCUUAUAAGCUUAGGACUGUGUGGUUAAUUAAGAUUGAUGUCCAGGCAAUACAUAUUUAGUUUACUAGUAAUCAGUGAGUUAUCCUUUGAAAACUCUCACUGACUGAACACAAAGAGAUAAAAAGAGGAAGAAAUGGUUCGCAUUGAUGUAUGGGUAAAUCUUAAUAAUUCCAUCCACAAUGUUUGGGAGCAUGUUUUGUUUUUUGAGGAUUAUAUAUAUAUAUAUAAAUAUAAGGAGAUCAGAGCAGAGUCCAUUGACUUUGCAUAGAAAAGACUUGCUUCUUCUUGUGAUGUCCAUUAUGAUCCCUUUGAAACAAAUCUCUAAUUUGCUUUGUUGGUCUUCUUUGCAAUAGACCUACAUUAAACCAGUCCAAAAGUUGGUAAAUCCCAACUUUUACUUUUUGUAAAUUGAAUUUUUAUAGUUUUACUCCAUGUUGGUCUUUCGAGAGUUUCGACAUGUGAAACCCAAAAAGGGGCAGCAUUUGUGAUGAUUGAAAACAGGAGAUGCGGUUGAGAAAACAUUUCAAGCUGGAGUAAUGGUAAAUUCUUUUGAACUUCCAAUGUGUAAUAUCAUUAUGUAGAUGACUUUUGAUAACAUAGUCUUCAUGUUUUGAUUGUACUUUGUAUAAACUCCAUUUUCAAAUUUGUCCCAAUUGGGAUUAUGAAUGGGAUAGUCUUCAAUUGGGUCUUCAUUGAUAGGAGAUUACACCCUGAGAGUGAGUAAUUCUAAAUAUUUAAAGGGCUCGAUUAGCAAUUUGUUGAAACUCAAUAGUUAAUGAUAAGACACAAAUAAUUGAAAGAGAAUGAUUUCUGCUUGGUUUCGUUUACUAGAUUUGAUGUUCUUAUACACUUGAAAUAUAUACACAUUAAUUAAUUAUUACAUUAAAACUUUACAGCUUUCUUUCUCUUCUUGCUAAUGAUGAUAUGCUUCUGAUCAUAUUCAUGGAAAAAACUGUGUUGUUUAUUACCACCUACUAAUAUGGAAGAAGUGUGAUUUGACUUGAUAUCUCAUUGCACAUGUGCUUUAUCAUGACCAUGGUUUAACCUCUUGCUGGUGAUCUAAUUAAUGCAUCCAAGGGUUUUGCCUGGCCUGCUCAUAUGAUACCCAAUCAUAUGGUAUCCAAGCUAAGCAAUUCUAUGACACUAGUAUGAAUUUAGGUCUCUCCGGUUCAGGUAGGACCAUAGUUCUUGAAUUUCUACACGAAUAAAGAUCAAGAAAAGGAGUGUUGCAUGUGUGUUUUACAUUAUUUAACAAUGUCAUCUCUCUCAUUUUGCCUUCACAUUUACUCGUCAUGUGCAUCAUUUCCACAAGCUCCAUAGUUUUGACCAUGAUCAUACAAAAAGAAAAAAAAAAAAAAAAUUGAUUAAGAAUAUGGUAAAAUAUCACAUGAGAAUAUUGCUUUACUUACCUAUCUCCAUCUUGCUUUUGGUAUUUUGCAUCUCACUUUGUGAAAUUAUUGGCUUUCAAAUAUUUUAUGGGUGGAACUUCUAAUUUUUCCCUGAAUAUAUAUGUAAAGUGGGGUCCAACCCACGUUUGGUUUUUCGGAAUGUGCAUUUACUGAUAUGUAAGGUUUGAAUGAUGAUGGUUUCUUUUGUCCUUAGCUGAGUACACCACCAAUGCCCAGCUAGUAACCUGCAAAGAGUGUUUUGAUAUUUUCUAUAAAAAUUUACACUAAACAGUCAUUUAUGUUCUUGUUUUUGGGGAACUCAUCAAACACAAAUACAAGCUCCUCCAUAUUCACGAGCAAACAUUAGUUAGAGAUUGACAAGUCUCCAAUAAUGUGGCUUCGUGAGAAUAAUGCAUUAUUAAUGUUAUAUUCAUAAUAACUCUAAUUCUUCUGAAGCUGCCCAUUGUUCUUGCUUUACUUAGUAUAAACUUCAUGUAGUUUGUCACUUCAAGAAUGUUUGAACCUUCUAUCUUAUUAUAUGUUAUGUGUAUAUAUGUGUGUGUGUGUGUGGCCAUCUAUAUUAUAUGUGGAUGUGUGUGUGUCUUAAAAAGGGAGUAGCAAAACAUUCUAUGUAUUUGUGUGGAAAUAGUGUCUACAUAACAGAGUUGAAAAACAGUGUGUUGUGGAAAUAGUGUUUGAAAACAUCGUGGUAGUGAAAUGAGACUUUUUGGGGCUAGUCGUGCCUGCUAGGUGCCCAUUUGCCAUUUAAGUAAUCUUCUUCGAUCUCCUUGUAGUUUUGACUUUGAGACACAAUGUAUAAUAUGGAAGGAUAUAUAGUUCUUUGUAGAAGUCUUCGUAUAACAUAGGGAGACACAAUGUACAAUAUGUAGAGCAUUGGAACUUCCCAAGUUGGUAAAGUCAAAAGUAAAAUUUCUAUGGCAUCUGGAAUAUUUUCCUCCUGUCAGAAAUAAUUUUCUCCUAUCGAAAAACAAUUUCCUCCUGCUGGAAAUCAAUUUAUUCUUGUUGGAAAACAAUCUCCUCCAAUUGGAAAAUCAUUUCUGACAAAUGGAUAAGCAUUUACUAUGGUGUGAAAAUUUUUCUAAACCUUCAAAAUACCAUUCCUUUGGCGUAAUUUUUUUUCUAGAUUUAGGCCGACCAGUACAUAAGCGACCAUCAGUUCAGGAGAGAAGCAAGCUACCUUUCUUUGAUCCACCUUCCCGGGCGGGGAAGAGAACGAAAAUAGGCCACGGAUGGUGGUCCCGGUAGGUUCGAGGAUCUUACGCGCGGAGCGACCUCCUCUAUCAUGUUGCAUUCCCUCUGGCGGCGUAGGUGCACCCUUUCGAUCCAUCGUACUGGAGCAAUCCGAGAAGAACGAUUAGGUACUUGAUGGUUGGUGUACGAGAUGCUACUGAAGAUGAGCUCUCAUAUGUUGGCAAAAUUGUUUGGGAUGUACAUCAUGAUAGUAGUUCCUAUGGUUUUGCACUUGUUGCCAGAGAUAAGCCGCCAUAAGAUAGUAGUGCUGAAAAAAAGGGCUGUUUCACACAAAAUCGGUGGAAAAAUAAUGAAAAGUAAACAUGUAAAUAUGGAAAAUGAUAAGGUGAAAAGAGGAAGGCGAAUAAAUGAUACACCUACAGGCUAUGGUGAUCAUGGUAAUUAUACUACACCAUUUGCAUGUCAUCCUUUGUACUCGGCUAUAGGAGCUGGUGACCAUGAUGGUGUUGAUACAAUGACUUCGCAACAACCGUCAUCCCUUGAUGAGGUAUUUUUGAGAUAUAGAUUAACUAUUCUUGAAGGCGAAAUGGUUGAUGUACAUCAAGAUAUUAAAGACUUAAGAAUUUCUGUGUAGGGAGUUUGCAAAGUUGGAGAUUAAACUAGAUAGACUAAUGGAACACAACGAAGUGCGAGUUCAAGAGAACAAUGAUAACCAAAGGCCAUACAAUGAUUGUUUAAACCUUCAUUUAGGAGGUUGGGCGAUUAGGGAUGUGAUGACAUUCUCAGUUUAGGAGAUAAAUGGAAAGCACAUUUGGGAGAUGAUGCAAUUGCUAGUUUGGGAGAUGAUAGGAAUGUAGAAUUGAGAGGUGAUGUCACUGUCAAUUUGGGAAAUGAGAUGAAAUCAGAAGUUGAAGGUGAUAUCGAGAUAGAAGACAAAAGGAAAGAAUAGUUGGGACGUGAUACCAUGCCUAAUGAUUUGCAAGUAGAAGCAUGUCUAUUUGAUAAACAGUUGCGUCCAUCAGUUUUGGGUGAUAUAGAAAAGAGUGUUGAGAUUAUCAUCACAGUAUCUCUAUCGAAGUCUCCCGCUGGAAGACAUGAUAUAAAGAUGGCAGUUGCUAAACAGUUGUUAGACAUUGAGAGACAUGAUAGGAAGGCCGCAACUGCUAUUAGUACUCCAUGCAAUGUUGGGUGCAUAAGUAAAAAACUACAGCACACCUUACCUGAACCGUUAUCUAUUUUGAAGUUUGACAUAUAUAGAUCAUUACCCAUUAAACUUGCAAAAACGUUUGACCAAUAUAUGAAGACGGUUGAUUGUGCAGUAGAGGUUAAAGCCUUUUUUGGUAGGAUUCUAAUAAGUGAAUGAUGGCUAAUUUAUGAUGUAAGUAUGCUUUGGAUCCAGUUUUUUAUUUAUUAGUUUUUUAAAAAUUUUAUGGUUGUAAUUUGAAAUUAAUUUGUAUUUCAAUGCAGCAUAUAAAAAUUAUGCCUUACUUAUUC